rnacentral:tRNA from 1 species
GGAAAGAUAGCUCAGUCAGUUGAGCGUAGCGCUAACAACGCUAAGGUCGUGGGUUCGAUUCCCGUUCGGUCCC